rnacentral:rRNA from 1 species
UGGGGAAUAUUGCACAAUGGGCGCAAGCCUGAUGCAGCCAUGCCGCGUGUAUGAAGAAGGCCUUCGGGUUGUAAAGUACUUUCAGCGGGGAGGAAGGGAGUAAAGUUAAUACCUUUGCUCAUUGACGUUACCCGCAGAAGAAGCACCGGCUAACUCCGUGCCAGCAGCCGCGGUAAUACGGAGGGUGCAAGCGUUAAUCGGAAUUACUGGGCGUAAAGCGCACGCAGGCGGUUUGUUAAGUCAGAUGUGAAAUCCCCGGGCUCAACCUGGGAACUGCAUCUGAUACUGGCAAGCUUGAGUCUCGUAGAGGGGGGUAGAAUUCCAGGUGUAGCGGUGAAAUGCGUAGAGAUAUGGAGGAAUACCGGUGGCGAAGGCGGCCCCCUAGACGAAGACUGACGCUCAGGUGCGAAAGCGUGGAGAGCAAACAGG